CACGUAGGGUGCGAGCGUUGUCCGGAAUUAUUGGGCGUAAAGAGCUCGUAGGCGGUGUGUCGCGUCGGCCGUGAAAACCUGCAGCUUAACUGUGGGCUUGCGGUCGAUACGGGCAUCACUGGAGUUCGGCAGGGGAGACUGGAAUUCCUGGUGUAGCGGUGAAAUGCGCAGAUAUCAGGAGGAACACCGGUGGCGAAGGCGGGUCUCUGGGCCGUAACUGACGCUGAGGAGCAAAAGCGUGGGGAGCGAACAGG
rnacentral:rRNA from 1 species